rnacentral:rRNA from 1 species
GAUGAACGCUGGCGGCGUGCCUAAUACAUGCAAGUCGAGCGAACGGACGAGAAGCUUGCUUCUCUGAUGUUAGCGGCGGACGGGUGAGUAACACGUGGAUAACCUACCUAUAAUACUGGGAUAACUUCGGGAAACCGGAGCUAAUACCGGCUAAUAUUUUGAACCGCAUGGUUCAAUAGUGAAAGACGGUCUUGCUGUCACUUAUAGAUGGAUCCGCGCUGCAUUAGCUAGUUGGUAAGGUAACGGCUUACCAAGGCAACGAUGCAUAGCCGACCUGAGAGGGGGAUCGGCCACACGGGAAGUGAGACACGGUCAAGACUACUACGGGAGGCAGAAGUAGGGAAUAUUCCGCAAUGGGCGAAAGCAUGACGGAGCAAAGCCGCGUGAGUGAUGAAGGUCUUCGGAUCGUAAAACUCUGUUAUUAGGGAAGAACAAAUGUGUAAGUAACUGUGCACAUCUUGACGGUAACUAAUCAGAAAGCAACGGCUAACUACGUG